rnacentral:rRNA from 1 species
GACGAACGCUGGCGGCGUGCUUAACACAUGCAAGUCGAACGGAAAGGCCCUGCUUUUGUGGGGUGCUCGAGUGGCGAACGGGUGAGUAACACGUGAGUAACCUGCCCUUGACUUUGGGAUAACUUCAGGAAACUGGGGCUAAUACCGGAUAGGAGCUCCUGCUGCAUGGUGGGGGUUGGAAAGUUUCGGCGGUUGGGGAUGGACUCGCGGCUUAUCAGCUUGUUGGUGGGGUAGUGGCUUACCAAGGCUUUGACGGGUAGCCGGCCUGAGAGGGUGACCGGCGACAUUGGGACUGAGAUACGGCCCAGACUCCUACGGGAGGCAGCAGUGGGGAGUAUUGCACAAUGGGCGGAAGCCUGAUGAAGAAACGCCGCGUGCGGGAUGACGGCCUUCGGGUUGUAAACCGCUUUCGCCUGUGACGAAGCGUGAGUGACGGUAAUGGGUAAAGAAGCACCGGCUAACUACGUG